GAUUAUAGAUGAUCGAGUCGUCACGCAAAAGAUUUUUUCCCCACGUCUGCACGACUUCAGCGCCACCAGCUGUCGUCCAUGUCCAAUCCAAUCCCUUCCGUCGUGGCCUACGCCGCGCGUGCGUUUGCCUGCCGCCGCCGGCCGUGGGCGCGGGCGGUUGGCGGACCCUGCAAUCCAAUGGAGCCUGGGCCAAGCUAUGAAUAGUUCUUUUACCACUUCAGCAAAUAAAGAUCGUGAUCAUGAAUUGAAUUACUAGCCUCAUGCAGCGACAGCACGAGAGACACAGCCAGAGCCAGAGGCCAGAACCAGUGGGAGGGAAACGGCCGGAGGAGAAAAAGGCGCAGGGAAACGGCGGGGCGGAGAGCUCGGGCUGCACAUGAAGUCGCCGAAGCUGAAGAGGCUCGUGAAGCAGCCGCCGCCGCCGCCGCCGCAUCUCUCUGCCCCGCCGUGGACCGCGCAGUCGGCGACGAGAACGCGAUCGAUCGUCGGAGAGGCAAGAAUGCCAAGGGGUGGCUCGAAUGGUCUCUUCAUUCUGCGCUAUUAAUAUUGUGUAUGUGUGUAUCCAUCUAUAGGACGGCGAAGUUGCUGCGGCGUGGCCGAUCGAAUUUCAGCUGGAGCAGCAUACAACUCAAGGUACCACACCAACACUUGUUUCCCUGAUUAAUUCAUGGACUCCAUUUGCACAGGUGGUAAUGAGUUUCGUGCUUAGUGGUUCGAUCAAGCGACUCUCGGUCCACACAAGCUGCGUGGUUCAGGUGACGUUUCCUCCCAAUUCCCAAACAUGCCAAAGAUUUGGAUAGCAGCAUCAAUAAUGUCAAAUGCAUCGUAACAGAGAAUUGCAGCAGUAGAGACUUUGUGCUCAGCAGAGGAGGAUGCCAGGUCAUUUUCAUGGCAGGCCAUGGUGCAUUGCCGGGCUCAUGAAUAGAAUUGUUGUUCGCAUGACAACGCGGCAGCGUUGUUUCAGUUAUAGGUUUGAGUCUAAGUUCGGGCUACGCAUGCAGGCAAAGUAUCUAAAUUCUAAUGAGUUGAUCAGCACAAUUUUGGUGCUCCAAUCACUACACCAAAACUUGCAUGCAGAGACACUAUUUUUGGUUUCUAGAGACAUUGUACAUUGCCUCUAUGCAAUAGUAGUUAUUUUCACUAUAUCGUAGAGGUGCGACUACAACCAAUUGCUCUUUGAUAGAAGAGACACAUUUGUUAAUUGUCUCUAUGUUUUAUAAGGCAACUUGUAAUGACACACUAUUAUAUCUC